CUGACUCGAAGGGGAAAUAAGGAUGAAUUCUUAGGACAAUGAUGCAGAAAUGGCCCGUGUGUCCCGGGCUCCCUCCAGUUGCCCCACUGCUGCUGUUACGGGCAUCUCCCAACAAGACAGCGAUGCCUGUGGGUCAGUAAAGGGGUGAGCCACUCUGCGGAUGCUUUCAGGGAACAACGUCUGCUUUAUUACACGCGAGCAUCCGCUUCCACGGUGGCAGCCUGUCUACUGUGAUUGGUUAGCACAGUACCGCGGACUGGAUGCUCGCACCACCAGGAUCUCUGUGCAGACGCAGCACAUUAAUUGUCCCGGGCCAGCUCCUUCAGCUUCUUCAGCUUCAGCUUCUUCAGCUCCUUCAGCUUCUUCAGCUCCUUCAGCUUCUUCAGCUCCUUCAGCUUCUUCAGCUACUUCAGCUCCUUCAGAAUUCAGUGUUCUGGCUUCUGAGGCAUGGCGCGCCGUGAUUCUUACUUAGACGUACAGCGCGCCAAACAGACUGACUGCCAGGAUAACAUGAAGGACAAAUUGUGUUUGAAAAAUGUUUCUCUCAAAGUUCAAAGGAAAAAGAUGCUUUUACAACUGAGGCAG
rnacentral:lncRNA from 1 species